GAUGAACGCUAGCUACAGGCUUAACACAUGCAAGUCGAGGGGAAACGACAUUGAAGCUUGCUUCGAUGGUCGUCGACCGGCGCACGGGUGAGUAACGCGUAUCCAACCUGACUCUGACCAAGGGAUAACCCGUCGAAAGUCGGCCUAAUACCUUAUGCAGUCGUCGGAAGUCAUCUGAUGACGACGAAAGAUUUCAUCGGUGAGAGAUGGGGAUGCGUCUGAUUAGCUUGUUGGCGGGGUAACGGCCCACCAAGGCAACGAUCAGUAGGGGUUCUGAGAGGAAGGUCCCCCACAUUGGAACUGAGACACGGUCCAAACUCCUACGGGAGGCAGCAGUGAGGAAUAUUGGUCAAUGGGCGAGAGCCUGAACCAGCCAAGUAGCGUGCAGGAUGACGGCCCUAUGGGUUGUAAACUGCUUUUAUGCGGGGAUAAAGUGAGGGACGUGUCCUUCAUUGCAGGUACCGCAUGAAUAAGGACCGGCUAAUUCCGUG
rnacentral:rRNA from 1 species